GAUUUCUAAUUAGUAAUUAUUAGUGUCAAUAUUUCGAAUGAACAUGGGUUUUAUUUGGUAGCGAAUAAUUACGAUUUAAUAUUGUUAUCAAUUAGUAAAUUAAAUUCUAAUUUGAGGCCCACGUGAUAUAAUGAGAAUUUAAUAUAAACCAUCGCUUAGCGUAUUUGGCAACAGUUUAGUAUUAUUUAUCGUACUAGUAAGAUUCUAUAUUCAAUAACAAUAUGAAGUUGGUAUUAUUAUUUGCAUUCAUUUUAUUCAUAGGAACGAUCAAUGCUGCUAUAAUUGGAUGCCCGCCAAAUUCAAAUUGGAAGGAAAUAGGAGGAUCUAACUGCUACACUCCUGUCCCUACAUGUCAAAAUCCAAAUCCAAAGCAUGUGGUUGAUCCGAAUGGAUGUUAUUUGAAUUUGAUAAGAGCCUGUUGGUGUGAUGAAGGAUACUUGAUGAAUGAUAACAAAUGCGUUCUCAAAGAAAACUGUUCUCAAUAAUAAAAUAUAAUGCUAAUUCAAUUUCUACUUCUGUAUAAAUAUAUUGAUUAA